GAAAUGAGCAACUAUAUUAUUAUUACUCCUAAAACUAAUUUUUUUAGGUACUCUGGCUCCCAACGUAAAAACAUUUUCCUCAUGCAGUUAGGAUGUGAUCUCACUAGAAUUUUGGAAUACUAUGAGAUUCAAAAUAGGGUACCUUUACAAACUGUUGUAUCCAACUAUUAUUCUCAAAGCUCAGAAGUUCAAGGAACAGAAGGUGCUCAGCUCAGAGCACCCUCUCCCAGGCUCUGCCAGACUCCAGGAUCACAGGAGAUGCUGAGAGAUGGAGUAGCUCCUUAGCCAGAACUGGCCUAGCCUCCUGUAGCCACAAUGCCUUCUGAUGCACCCCAGUCAGGUCGGUUUCAGAGAUUUAACUGUGAGGACAAGAUUUUCAAAUUCACUUCUCUCCUUCUCUUCCUCUUUUUCUCUUCCUUUCUUUAUUCUUGCUAUAAAGUUUGAUAGCAUAUCCAUUCUCCUUUGUUUUGGUAGCUGGAUACUCUUUUUGGAAAUCACUCUUACCUAUUUCAACUGUGUUUUUAUAGAUUCAACACAGCAUCAUUUUUACCAAUACUCCCAUAAGAGAGAUAAAGUACAGAGCUCUUUCAAAAAAGAAUUAAGACAUUUAAAAUCCUCUCCCCAAAUUACUUAAAGAACUUUGGCAAAUUACCAUUAGAAUGUAUCUUAAUUGCAAACCUAGUAUUUAGUCCAGUAAAGCAAAUAAUUUUGUAUUCAACAACAAGGUCAUUUACACUUUAAAAGUGUACAUCUCUGGGUCUUGGGAGAUGGCUAAGAGGUUAAGAGCACUUGUUCUUUUAAAGGACACAGGUUCAUUUCCCAUGUGACCCACCAUAAUGCACAGUGAUACAUAGACAUGCAUACAGGCAAAACACCUGCAUACAUAAAAUAAAAUUAAAUCUUUAAAAUAUUUGAAAAUAUGCAUCAUAAAAAGGUAUGUAUCUCUUUUAAGGGAGAAUUACUACCUAUAAAAUUUUUAAUAUUAACUUUGUUGUGUGACCUGUUUGACCAGCACGGGGCCCAUCUUUGAUAAGUAAAAAUCAUAGCAUAAAGAAGACAGAGCAUAUACAUAGAAAGUGUUCAG
rnacentral:lncRNA from 1 species